UACGAAGGGGGCUAGCGUUGCUCGGAAUCACUGGGCGUAAAGCGCACGUAGGCGGAUUGUUAAGUCAGGGGUGAAAUCCUGGAGCUCAGCUCCAGAACUGCCUUUGAUACUGGCGAUCUUGAGUCCGGGAGAGGUGAGUGGAACUCCGAGUGUAGAGGUGAAAUUCGUAGAUAUUAGGAAGAACACCAGUGGCGAAGGCGGCUUACUGGUCCGGAACUGACGCUGAGGUGCGAAAGCGUGGGGAGCAAACAGG
rnacentral:rRNA from 1 species